GACGGUUGGAUGGCCGCCUUUCGGCAAUAGGGAAACCCGCCGGGGGGAGGAAAGUCCGGGCUCCAUGGAAACACGGUGCCGGUUAAUGGCCGGCGGGGGCGACCCCAGGGAAAGUGCCACAGAGAGCAGACCGCCCGUCUUUAGACGUGGCAAGGGUGAAAGGGUGCGGUAAGAGCGCACCGCGUCGUCGGCGACGGCGACGGCAGGGUAAACCCCACCGGGAGCAAGACCGAAUAGGGGCGGCAUGUGGUGUAUUCCACGGGCGGGUUUCCGCGCCGCUGCCCGGGUAGGUCGCGACGAGGUAUCCGGUAACGGACACCCCAGAUGAAUGGCCAUCCAUCGUCAUUACUUCGUAUUGGCGAGGACAGAACCCGGCUUACAGGCCGUCUGG
rnacentral:RNase_P_RNA from 1 species